rnacentral:rRNA from 1 species
GAUGAACGCUGGCGGCGUGCCUAAUACAUGCAAGUCGAGCGAACAGACGAGGAGCUUGCUCCUCUGACGUUAGCGGCGGACGGGUGAGUAACACGUGGAUAACCUACCUAUAAGACUGGGAUAACUUCGGGAAACCGGAGCUAAUACCGGAUAAUAUAUUGAACCGCAUGGUUCAAUAGUGAAAGACGGUUUUGCUGUCACUUAUAGAUGGAUCCGCGCCGCAUUAGCUAGUUGGUAAGGUAACGGCUUACCAAGGCAACGAUGCGUAGCCGACCUGAGAGGGUGAGCGGCCACACUGGAACUGAGAAACGGGCCAGACUCCUACGGGAGGCAGCAGUAGGGAAUCUUCUGCAAUGGGCGAAAGCUUGACGGAGCAACGCCGCGUGAGUGAUGAAGGUCUUCGGAUCGUAAAACUCUGUUAUUAGGGAAGAACAAAUGUGUAAGUAACUAUGCACGUCUUGACGGGACCUAAUCAGAAAGCCACGGCUAACUACGU